rnacentral:lncRNA from 1 species
GUGCACCCUGUUUCCCUCUCCCGACCUCCGCAUCUCUAGGCCUCUAAAGGGCUACUACUGGCGGAAACCGGUGCACCCGGGGCUAACCUCUCGGCCCGACCAUCAAUCACCGCGCCCGCUCUACGCUUGCUUCCCCAAGCCCUCGACCUGUAGGGCUGGAGGAUCCAAGCCGCCGGAGCGCUCUGCCUUUCCCGCUUCCUGGCCGCUCAGGCGCUUUCCCUACCACCGCGUUGUUUGCAGAGUGCAUACAAAGUGGCGCGUGUUUCGGAGCGCCCGG